AUGGCCUUCCACCUAAGAUCGAUAAGUUUGCCAUCAAGGCCUCAGGCCAACGAGACUGAAGUCGAGCAAGAGGUGUUGAGCCUAGAGGCAAGCAUCUCUUCUUCGACUACCACCAUCGGUACCAUGUGUGCCGGUCUGAGGAGGCUCGGGGACAUCUACAAUGGUGUUGAAGAGAUUAUUGGCCUGCCAAGCAACCAGGUUGGCAAGAUGUUGGAUUCAGAGAUUGAAGGCUCUCUCGAGCUGCUAGAUCUCUGCAGCACCAUGCAAGAGAUCUUCGUCGAGAUGAAGGCCAUCAUCCAAGAGCUACAGGUAGCUCUAAGAAAAGGAGAUGAUGCAACUGCUCAAGCCAAGAUCCAGUCUUAUGUUCGUUUGGUGAAGACGGCCAAGAAACAUUUCAAGAAGAGCGCGAAGAAGGCUAAUGUUGUUUCUGCGGCUUGCAAGGUGGUCAUGCUAUUGACCAAAGCUAGAGAGGUUUCUGUGUCUCUGUUGGAGUCCACAGUCCAUCUCUUGUCAAAGGAAAUCAGAAUGCCAAAACAGUCUCUUGUCUCCAAGGCAUUUCACAAGAAGAAGGCAGUUGUCUGCCAGGAGGAGCAAUUGCAGGAGUUAGAGUGUAGUAUUGGAGAUCUCGAGAAUGGGGCGGGACAUCUGUUCAGGAAAUUAAUCCAGAUCAGAGUUUCUCUCUUGGACAUUCUUAGCUCAUAG
rnacentral:rRNA from 1 species